UCAAAGACGAGCUCCCGAGACAAAGCGCAGAACCAAAACAUACAAACACAGAUGUUACUCUUUCCUGGAGUUCGCUUACCAUUUUUACCUCCGCUAUUUUCAUUUACUUCACUCUUUAUAUUUACCUCGCUCUUUACAUUUACCUCGCUCUUUACAUUUUCUUCACUGUUUAUAAUGGCUAGCCAAGGAACUGAAGAGGAAGAGGCGGCUGCACAAUCCUAAAAUCGCGGAGGCGGUCUGUCCGCUACACAACUCUGAGGUAAACUGUAGGCGCUAUGACCCGGAGCAAGGAUUAAGCUUGCCAUAUAAUGAGACGGUCACCUCGUUUUAGCGGAGCACUGUCCAUAAGCCUGGAAUUGCGUGAUGAAUGUGUAACCCUUGACACUUUUAUCAUAUUCAAGACAGCACUGCUUUAAUUUGGUAUUGUCCCUUUAAGAGGGCAGGGUAAUGUGUGCACGGGGAGAGUGCGCGGCAAUACCAUGUUAAGUUAUUGUGAUGAGAGACUAUGCACAGCAUGCAAACUUUUUUCCCCUCGAAUAAAGGUUUAGUAUGUUGUUGUGAAGAAUGUUCUUUGAAUAUAUGCUUUAUUGUUUCAUACACAAGCUGAGUGAGAGUUGCCGAGGUGAAGAAAUACUUUUCUUUCUGUGUUUUUUUGUAUUUCAAGACAUUCUGGUGAGUCAAUUCUGCUUAUAUAUAUUUUUGUUGUCAUUGUAGUAUUAUCUGAAAAAAAUACCAGUCAGAAUGUCAUUGUAUUGAAGGGAAUGCACCCAAAUUAAUGUUUAACUGUGAUGUAAAGUUUAUAAGAGAGUGGCUAAGUGCAACUAUAUGAUGCUAGCUUUGCUAAUCAUGGUGAGCAUGCGGUGUCCGAUGCCCCAUAUGAAACAUAUUUUUUCUGUAAUCUUUAAUCGCAUGCUUACUGUAAGCGAUUAAGGUGUAAUUACUUUUGUUUAUUUGAUUUAUGUAUUUUGGGUUAAAUGUUUUGUCACAGUGAAAGAAAGGGUUUAGGGCAGAUUUAUUUUCCAAACUUCAUUUUGUAUUGUACAAUGGGAUAAAAUGCAUUCAAACCAUACAAAAUGCCAAAAUACAUGUGAUCAUUCUCAUUAGGAAUGGUUUAAAGGUUCAGAUGUUGUUGAUGUUAUUAAUUUGAGAUGUAUAAUUGUUGCAGAGUGUUUUUUUUUCCUUGGCCUAUUCACUGGAUGAUGCAAUUGGGACUUGAGUUCUCUGAGUGGUUUCUCCAGGAGCGAGGUUCCUUCCAGCAGACAUCUUAGCAUCACAUCAACUCUUCAGCUCUUCAUCUCAUCUUCAUCUUUCAACUCUUCAGUUCUUCACUCAUCCAUAGUACACUCAUCAUCACUUUAUCUUUGAUAAGUUGAAAGUCUUUCCUAAGGGUGCGGUAGGACUGAGACGUUGCUUUACACACAUUACACGGAACUGUUUUUUAAAAGAACUCUGAAUUUUUUCCGGACUUCCAUUUCUUUUGGUUACAGCUAUAUUUUACAUUUGGUUACAGCUGUAUGGUUGCAGCUGAAUUGGUUCAUUAAUUUCCAAGAGUAACCAUUGCUGGGGAUUGUGACCAUUGUUGUGGUUGUUUAUCACACUCAUUUUCUUUUUUUUCCUUCAAAGUGCCAGGGAACAAAAGUAUUUAAUUUACCUGCUCAAAAUACACUUUCCUGGUAAACAUAAUUUUUUCAUGUGCUACUUUAACUUUUGUUUCCUUUUCUCUCCCUUACUCCUGACAUUCAUUUUUUUCCUCAAUUAACAUCUUUGUGGGUGAACUACAGGCUGAAACCAAGCUCCUUAGAUGAACCUAGACAACCUUAGAUGAACCUAGAUCAUACAGCCCUGACCUAGUUAUUAAAGCUGGGGUUACAAAGGCCUGGAUAAAAAUGACUUUGUUGGACCUGGUGCUACAUACACAUACAACAUAGAGUUCAAACACAAGAACAACACAGAGCUAGGACCGAAAGUUCGUCCAAGCCACCUGCCUGUAAGACAUAUUACGAAACGGUGCAUAGAAAUUUCCGGUACAGCCAGCCAGAGCUAGCAAAUGUGGCUACAGCUAAUAAGACCUCAGCCCGGAGUUGCCAGAGGAGGAAGUGGCUCCUUACACCUCCCUCCCUAUACACCCCCUGGUACGAUAACGACCGUUUCUGUCACUCGCAAACAGGAACUUCCCAGGCUGUGAAUUGUCGAUAACUGCCAGUGAUUAGAGAGGUCAUCAGGCAUUCACGGGGACGAAAAUCUUACUUCCAGUGUCCACCACUGGGUUCGGGGAUUGACGCCACGACAGGCACCAGAGACCUUACGGCCACAACUCCUGUUAGCUGCGUCAACAAUGGAGGAGGAGAACAUGGUCCACUCAGACUCAAUGUCCCCAACCUCCCACGGAAUCUUGUCGAAACGCUCCCGGAGGUGGGAGUUGAAGACCUCCCUAACAGAGGGUUCAGCCAGACGUUCCCAACAGACCCCCACAAUACAUUUGGGUCUGCCAAGUCUGUCUGGCAUCCUCCUCCACAAGCAGAUCCAACUCACCACCAGGUGGUGAUCAGUUGACAGCUCAGCCCCUCUUUUCACCCGAGUGUCCAAGACAUAUGGCCGAAGGUCAGAUGACAGGACCACCAAGUCGAUCAUCGACCUCUGGCCUAAGGUGUCCUGGUACCACGUGUACUGAUGGGCACCCUUAUGCUUGAACAUGGUGUUCGUUAUGGACAAACUGUGACUAGCACAGAAGUCCAAUAACGGAACACCACUCGAGUUCAGAUUGGGGGGGCCGUUCCUCCCAAUCACACCCCUCCAGGUAACACUGUUGUUGCCCACAUGGGUGUUUAAGUCCCCCAGUAUAACUAUGGAGUCCCCAUUCGGGGCACCUUCCAGCACGCCUCAUAGGGUCUCCAAAAAGGUUGGGUACUCCACACUGCUGUUCUCCCCGUAAGCUGAAACAACAGUGAGACUAGAAACAUCUAGGCCUCCACCCAUGACUGCUACCCAAAACGCAUCAAACCAGCCCCUUAUGCUCCUUCCUGCGGGUGGUGGGCCUACGGGAAGACGGGCCUACGUCGCUCUUUCGGGCUGUGCCCGGCCGAGGCCCAUAGGCACAGACUUGGCCACCAGACGCUCACCUGUGUGCCCCAGCCCUGGCUCCAGGUUGGGGCCCCGGUAACACCAAUCCGGGCGACGUAACGGUCCUUGCUUUCUUUUUUUCCAUGAGGGGAUUUGAACCGCUCUUAGUCUGACCCGUCACCUAGGACCCGUUUGCCUUGGGAGACCCUACCAGGAGCACAUGGCUCCUAGGCUCAUUCGGGUACUCAAACACCUCCACCACAAUAAGGUGGUAUAAUGCUAAUGUCUAUGUUAAUGCUAAUGUCUAUGUUAAUGCUAAAGUUAAGGCUAAUGCUAAUGUUAGAUAGUGUUAUUGCUAAUGUUAAUGCUUCAAAAACCUCAGCACAAUGAGGGGAAAGCAGUGACGUGUAUCCUGGUGACAUAUCCACCUGCGCCGGGGAUGAGUUUUGCCACAUUCAGGAAAUGUACAUGUCUAGUUGUUGUUGUUAUUAUUAUUAUUAUUAAUAUUAUUGUUAUUGUUAUUAUUAUUAUUAUUAUUAUUAUUGUUAUUUUGUAUUUUUUAAUGUUUUAUAUUUUAGUGAAUAUUUUAUACAUUAGUAUUAAACCAGUUAAUUUAAAUGGGCAUCUUUUAACACGGUGCACUGUAGAAUUAAUGAGUAAGUUAGUCUAAAUGUUUUGAUAGUUCUCAAUCUCCCUCUACUGAUUCCAAUCUAAAUUUAUUAAAUAAGUAAGUAAACGUAAGUAGGUAGUUUAUUUAAAUGUAGCUUCAAGAGCAUUGGCUAAUGUAGAAAUCAUGAGAGAGAGAGAGAGAGAGAGAGAGAGAGAGAGAGAAAGUUUCAGUGUUCUUACUGCGAAACAUCUCUCCCUAUUGAACCAAAACUGCGCUGAUGCUCAGAGAUUUGCAAAAGAACCAGAAGAUAUUACUCAAACCCCAGCAACUUUCAUAAUCUAUAUAUAAUAAUCAGUUUAAUUCAGUGAUUAGCCAAAUGGAGCUUUUUAUAAGAAUGAUUAAAUUGUAAUGAAAUCUUGUCUAUUAACACCACAGGACAACAGAAUCACCUGUCCAGCAACUUUAAGUGUUUUCUCUGCUGUAACACUUCCUUCCUUCCUUCUGUCCGUCCGUCCGUUCGUCCGUCCUUACUUUGCAUUGACUGCAUAUUCACUGUGUUGAUACCUACCCAGAGGCCUUGUGGAUAUUUCCAGCAUUUCCAUUAACUUACAGUAAAGCACUGGUAUUUGUAUCAACAUUUGUCUUUUGAAAACUUUAUCUGUUCAUUCUGAAUAAUGAAUUCAUAUUGCUUUUCUACUCUAGACAGAUGUGCUUUUUGUGGUUCUUAAGUUUAGGAGACAUCCUAACUAAGGAAAUGUUUUCAAUAAUAGCUAUUUAGAAUAUUCCAACAGCCACUGUCUAAACACUGUCUAAACACUGCUGUAUCUGAGGCUUUAGUAAUGUGUUUGUGUGAAUAUGGAGCACUGUGUCGACUGGCUGCACAGUAAUAAACAGCAGAGUCUGACAGGUGGAGUUUAGAGAUGCUUAGACUUCCCUCAGUCGUGCUUUUUCUACUCUGUUUGAACCGAUCUUUAAAUCCUUCCUCGUAGUUUGGAUUGCCCGAUGGUCCAGCAGUAUAUCCAAUCAGGGCCAUAACUGUGCUACUUUUUUUGCUGAUACCAUAACAUUACUAGUAAGGAAUUGUCAUCAUGACUGCACUGGAUUGUUACUUCUUCUAUAUCAUUGACUAAUAGCGAUGAGGUCAUAUGAACUUUGACGCAGUUUGUCAUUCCUGAUGAAAAAACAUCAAUAUUUUAAUUCUGAAUUAAAUACAUAAGUCAGUAUAAUGCAACAUUGAAAAAAAGUCUCACCAAAACACAAAAUGAAGAACACAAAAAGUUCACAUGAACCAUCCA